rnacentral:tRNA from 1 species
CAGCUCAGCGGUUGAACACUCGCUUCACAAGCGAUAGGUCGGUGGUUCGAACCCACUUAGG